GACCGUGCAAAGGUAGCAUAAUCAUUUGCCUUAUAAUUGAAGGCUUGUAUGAAUGGUUUGACAAGAAUAGAUCUGUCUCUCUGCAAUUAAAUAAAAUUUUAUUCACAGGUGAAGAAGCCUGUAUAAAAUUGAAAGACAAGAAGACCCUAUCGAGCUUUAAAGUAGUUAGUAAGUUUUAAAUCAUAUUUAUACUGAAUUAAUUAUUAAAAAUUUUAGUUGGGGCGACUGAGGAACAAAUAAAGCUUCCUUAAAAUUUUAAUGCCUACAAGCUAUGAUCCAAAUAUUUUGAUUAAAGAAAUUAGUUACCGUAGGGAUAACAGCAUUAUCUUUUUUAAGAGCUCAAAUCGAAAAAAAGGCUUGUGACCUCGAUGUUGGACCAGAAUGUCCUAAAGAUGCAGUCGUCUUUAAGGGUUGGUCUGUUCGACCAUUAAAAUUCUACGUGAUCUGAGUUCAGACCGGCGUGAGCCAGGUCAGUUUCUAUCUUCAAUUUUUAAUAUGGACUUAGUACGAAAGGAUUAGUCUAUAAUAAAAGAAUUAUUAUAUUAGAUGAAGUAUAAAGUAAAAUUUAGUAAUUUAAUUCUAAUCAAAUUAGCAAAGAUAAUGCAAUUGACUUAGGAUCAAUAGACAUAGGUGAAAGCCCUUUAUUUGAUAUUUAUAAAGAUGGCAGACAAA
rnacentral:rRNA from 1 species